UGCAAGUCGAACGCCAGCGAUGGAGCAUCCUGGCGGCGAGUGGCGAACGGGUGAGUAAUACAUCGCGAACGUGUCCUGUAGUGGGGGAUAGCCCGGCGAAAGCCGGAUUAAUACCGCAUACGAUCUACGGAUGAAAGCGGGGGAUCGCAAGACCUCGCGCUAUAGGGGCGGCCGAUGGCGGAUUAGCUAGUUGGUGGGGUAAAGGCCCACCAAGGCGACGAUCCGUAGCUGGUCUGAGAGGACGACCAGCCACACUGGGACUGAGACACGGCCCAGACUCCUACGGGAGGCAGCAGUGGGGAAUUUUGGACAAUGGGCGCAAGCCUGAUCCAGCAAUGCCGCGUGUGUGAAGAAGGCCUUCGGGUUGUAAAGCACUUUUGUCCGGAAAGAAAUCCUCUGGGUUAAUACCCCGGGGGGAUGACGGUACCGGAAGAAUAAGCACCGGCUAACUACGUGCCAGCAGCCGCGGUAAUACGUAGGGUGCGAGCGUUAAUCGGAAUUACUGGGCGUAAAGCGUGCGCAGGCGGUGAUGUAAGACCGAUGUGAAAUCCCCGGGCUUAACCUGGGAACUGCAUUGGUGACUGCAUCGCUGGAGUAUGGCAGAGGGGGGUAGAAUCCACGUGUAGCAGUGAAAUGCGUAGAGAUGUGGAGGAAUACCGAUGGCGAAGGCAGCCCCCUGGGGCCAUACUGACGCUCAUGCACGAAAGCGUGGGGA
rnacentral:rRNA from 1 species